AUUGAACGCUGGCGGCAUGCUUUACACAUGCAAGUCGAACGGUAACAGGCCGCAAGGUGCUGACGAGUGGCGAACGGGUGAGUAAUGCAUCGGAACGUGCCCAGUCGUGGGGGAUAACUACUCGAAAGAGUAGCUAAUACCCAUCCGAUCUAUGGAUGAAAGCGGGGGACCGUAAGGCCUCGCCCGAUUGGAGCGGCCGAUGUCAGAUUAGGUAGUUGGUGGGGUAAAGGCUCACCAAGCCAACGAUCUGUAGCUGGUCUGAGAGGACGACCAGCCACACUGGGACUGAGACACGGCCCAGACUCCUACGGGAGGCAGCAGUGGGGAAUUUUGGACAAUGGGCGCAAGCCUGAUCCAGCAAUGCCGCGUGCAGGAAGAAGGCCUUCGGGUUGUAAACUGCUUUUGUACGGAACGAAACGGCUCUGGUUAAUACCCGGGGCUAAUGACGGUACCGGAAGAAUAAGCACCGGCUAACUACGUG
rnacentral:rRNA from 1 species